rfam:Oryza glumipatula chromosome 3, whole genome shotgun sequence.
AAAGACCGUAGUUUUGCACUAUUUAUGUCCAACAUUUAACCGCCCGUAUUAUUUGAAAAAAAAUUAUGAUUAGUAUUUUUAUUCGAAACAUGAAUAAUACUUUAUGUGUUACUUUUUUUUAUUUUUUCAUAAAAUUUUAAAAUAAGACGGACGGUCAAACGUUGAACAUGAAAAUCCACAACUGCACUUAAA